GAUGAACGCUGGCGGCGUGCCUAAUACAUGCAAGUCGAGCGAACAGACGAGGAGCUUGCUCCUCUGACGUUAGCGGCGGACGGGUGAGUAACACGUGGAUAACCUACCUAUAAGACUGGGAUAACUUCGGGAAACCGGAGCUAAUACCGGAUAAUAUAUUGAACCGCAUGGUUCAAUAGUGAAAGACGGUUUUGCUGUCACUUAUCGAUGGAUCCGCGCCGCAUUAGCUAGUUGGUAAGGUAACGGCUUACCAAGGCAACGAUGCGUAGCCGACCUGAGAGGGGGAUCGGCCACACUGGAACUGAGCCACGGUCCAGACUCCUACGGGAGGCAGCAGUAGGGAAUCUUCCGCAAUGGGCGAAAGCCUGACGGAGCAACGCCGCGUGAGUGAUGAAGGUCUUCGGAUCGUAAAACUCUGUUAUUAGGGAAGAACAAAUGUGUAAGUAACUAUGCACGUCUUGACGGUACCUAAUCAGAAAGCCACGGCUAACUACGUG
rnacentral:rRNA from 1 species